rnacentral:rRNA from 1 species
GACAAUGGGCGCAAGCCUGAUCCAGCCAUGCCGCGUGCAGGAUGACGGUCCUAUGGAUUGUAAACUGCUUUUGUACAGGAAGAAACACUCCCUCGUGAGGGAGCUUGACGGUACUGUAAGAAUAAGGAUCGGCUAACUCCGUGCCAGCAGCCGCGGUAAUACGGAGGAUCCAAGCGUUAUCCGGAAUCAUUGGGUUUAAAGGGUCCGUAGGCGGAUGAUUAAGUCAGGGGUGAAAGUUUGCAGCUCAACUGUAAAAUUGCCUUUGAUACUGGUUAUCUUGAGUUGUAUUGAAGUAGGCGGAAUAUGUAGUGUAGCGGUGAAAUGCAUAGAUAUUACAUAGAACACCAAUUGCGAAGGCAGCUUACUAAGUACUAACUGACGCCGAUGGACGAAAGCGUGGGUAGCGAACAGGAUUAGAUACCCUGGUAGUCCACGCCGUAAACGAUGGAUACUAGCUGUUCGGGACCUUGAGUUCUGAGCGGCUAAGCGAAAGUGAUAAGUAUCCCACCUGGGGAGUACGUUCGCAAGAAUGAAACUCAAAGGAAUUGACGGGGGCCCGCACAAGCGGUGGAGCAUGUGGUUUAAUUCGAUGAUACGCGAGGAACCUUACC